rnacentral:rRNA from 1 species
AUUGAACGCUGGCGGCAGGCCUAACACAUGCAAGUCGAGCGGAUGAGGGAAGCUUGCUUCCUGAUUUAGCGGCGGACGGGUGAGUAAUGCCUAGGAAUCUGCCUAUUAGUGGGGGAUAACGUUCCGAAAGGAACGCUAAUACCGCAUACGUCCUACGGGAGAAAGUGGGGGAUCUUCGGACCUCACGCUAAUAGAUGAGCCUAGGUCGGAUUAGCUAGUUGGUGAGGCAACGGCUCACCAAGGCGACGAUCCGUAGCUGGUCUGAGAGGAUGAGCAGCCACACUGGAACUGAGACACGGUCCAGACUCCUACGGGAGGCAGCAGUGGGGAAUAUUGGACAAUGGGUGAAAGCCUGAUCCAGCCAUGCCGCGUGUGUGAAGAAGGUCUUCGGAUUGUAAAGCACUUUAAGUUGGGAGGAAGGGCUGUAAGCUAAUAUCUUGCAGCUUUGACGUUACCAACAGAAUAAGCACCGGCUAACUCUGUGCCAGCCGCCGCUGUAACAC